CGCUGAACUUAAGCAUAUCAAUAAGCG
rnacentral:ncRNA from 2 species